rnacentral:rRNA from 1 species
AAUCUUCCGCAAUGGACGAAAGUCUGACGGAGCAACGCCGCGUGAGUGAUGAAGGNCUNNGGAUCNUNAAACCCUGUUGUUAGNNNNNAACAAGUAUCGGAGUAAUAUGCCGGUACCUUGACGGUACCUAACCAGAAAGCCCCGGCUAACUACGUUCCAGCAGCCGCGGUAAUACGUAGGGGGCAAGCGUUGUCCGGAAUUAUUGGGCGUAAAGGGCACGCAGGCGGUUAUUUAAGUCUGAUGUGAAAUCUUGUGGCUUAACCACAGGCGGUCAUUGGAAACUGGAUAACUUGAGUACAGAAGAGGAGAGUGGAAUUCCACGUGUAGCGGUGAAAUGCGUAGAGAUGUGGAGGAACACCAGUGGCGAAGGCGGCUCUCUGGUCUGUAACUGACGCUGAGGUGCGAAAGCGUGGGUAGCGAACA